AAACCAUAACUUUCCCUCUAUUGUUAAGAGGCUGAACAUACAAAACAGAUCAACUCCAGAGUCAGUGUAAGCCAAGUUGCAGUUUUCUUGAGAAAUAAUGUUAGUUGAAACAGUUUUCAGUAUUUGUUUCAGCUAAGUCAUCAGUCAGCUAAAAUCCUUCAUUAGUCAGCUAAAGCGCAGCAAAUUAAUAAUACGUUCCUUUGUUGAUAACUCCUUUCUCAUUUAAUGGUGCCUCCAUUGGUUGCUGUUACAUUAAAACACUGGCAAAGUAAUAAAGUAUUUCCUUGCUUACUCUUUUAUCACUCUGGUUAGGCUAUGGCUUAAAAAGAAUAAACAUACUUUUGGUAAACUAAAAGAAUGCUAAAUAAAUGAUUAACUUGAGAAUAUAAGAAAAACAUCAUAAGUAGCUAAUUAAUUUGCAGAUAAUGGGAGAUAACAUGUAACUGAUGCUUCUCCAGUUGGCCUCUAUUUCCUGGCUAUGGAUCUAAAUAAUGUCAAAAUGUCACACUCCAUCAUUUGCCACUUUACUGAGAAGUGGGGGAGUAAACAGAGAUACAACUCAGAAGCAUUGUGAUUCAAGUACGGAGGAGGCAUGAAGCCAAGGAGACUACAGAUGAAUGUACUUGGAAUCCAGCCUGGGCCAUGACCAGACUUGUACCCAUUAGGGUACAGACUCAUCUUGGGAAACAGAAUCUACUCCUAAUCAUCCAGAAUGCCCUUGAAGUAGGUGGGCAGGCUCUAUGCUGCAGGUGGUGAAGUGGCCCUGACAUACCUUAUUCUUCCAGAGGCCCUUGAGGACUUCUAAGCCCUCUCACAUCAUCCAUCUAUUCCCAUUGAACCGAACCUUGCUUCAUAGUCACACUAAUCGCCAAAAGAGUUUCUGGCUAAGUGAGACCAAAGUACUCAUAACAACAAGCAUCUGUCAUCUACCAUAAUACUCUCUACUAUGGAUUUUAAUUGGUAGCAAUGAUUUCAAAACUUGACUGCUGUUGAGUUUUAGAUGAAUCAUCUUACCCAGCCCCUGCCCAUGCCUCCAACUGCAUCUUGAGCUACUCUCCAUUUGCUGAGGGCAUUUGCUCAGGACACUCCAGCUCCACUAGCCUUUUCCAGCUCCUCCAGCACUACGCUGACCUCCUUCCAACUCAUCCAACACAUCAAACUACUUCCUGCCUCAGAGCCUUCCCUCUGCUUGGACAUCUUUUUCUCCAUUUCUUGCUUGACCAACUUGUUUCUACUCAACUUCCAGAUUCCUGUUUUAAGGUUGGUUUUAAGAGCAGCCUUCUGAGAUCCUCCCAAGGUCAAGGGUUAGUCACCUGGUAAGAAGCUGCCAAUUGCAAAUAAGAGUGUGCACUUGCUGGAUGUCUUCUGUUUGCUCUCUUGACCCACCUUCUACCAUUCCCCACCUUCUUCUUUGCCUCCGGAAGGGAGCUUUCUGGACUGCACCAACAAGCUACUUUGUCCUCUGGCUUGUCCUCGGAUUCAGUCAGUGGGAGGUACCCACAAGGUGACUUAGAAGGCAGAAGAGGAAUGAGGUAAGGGUAUGUAUUUUCCCGGUUCCUUUGCAGCCAGAUCUCUGUACAUUAGCUGUGUUCCUCUACCAAACGUAGCUACAAACAUCCUCGCUGAGUUAGAGUUUUGAUAAUGGCUCUAUCACCUGGCUUCUUUUGGCCUAAGAUUGGGACAGUUUCCCAGGGUUCCUAGCCCAUACUUUUGCAGUUCAUUAAACUUUCCCCAGUCACCCAGUCUGAGUUGCCAUCUGUUUCCUGUCAGAACCUGACUGAUAAGAGGUUUACUUAGGCUUUGGAAACAGGCAAUGGGUGUGGACAAAUACAUACACGAUGGGAGUAAGAUAAACAGCUGAAAUGGAUAGCAUGACCAGGGCUCCAGAGGGUGCAUCCCUUGCCUCUAGUCCAGUGCACAGCAAAUAGAAGGGGAAGGCUUUCAAAGGUCAGUACUAUAAAGGUCAACAUUUACUUCAAAUGCUCCCUCCCAAAAACCAUAAUAUGAUCAAGCAAACCAUUAGUUAAAGAUAUAGGAACCUAACUAAUGACUCAUUUUUUAUUUUUUGAGACAGGGUCUCGCUCUGUCACCCAGGCUGGAGUGCAGUGGUGUGAUCUUGGCUCACUGCAGCCUCUGCCUCCUGGGCUCAAGCAGUCCUCCCACCUUAGCCUCCUGAUCAGCUGGGACUACAGGCAUGCACCGUUUUGCUUGGCUAAUUUUUAAAUUUUUGUGUGGAGACAAAAGUCUCACUAUUGCCCAGUCUGGUCUUGAACUCCUGAGCUCAAGCCAUCUUCCCACCUCAGCCUCCCAAAGUGCAGGGAUUAUAGAUGUUAGCCACUGAACCCACCCAAUUAUUGACUCUAUUUUGUCUUUGGUCAUUUGCACUGGGGGCUCCCUGUCAUCCAUUGAACUGGUUAGUGCCUAUUCAUUCCUUAAAGUCUCAGUUUAGAAAUCAAUCUCACAACACCAAAUAGCAUAUUGUUGAUGGAGCCAGGCCUUAAACCUAGGUCUUCACCUUGAAAGGUGGAAUAGAGGUCUUCUACAUCUAUUAAAUGCUAUCUCUAUUUACAUAUUUACGGUGAUGCCAUUACCACAGGAACAUUAAAACUUCAUCUCAAUUAUAGGCAAGAGGCUCUUCUUUUUAAAUUAGGCUUCAUGGGAUAUAUUUUUGUGACCUUUCUUCCAGUAAUGUCCAAUAGUCUGAUGUAAAUCCUUCUCAAACCACUGAGACUAUCCUUUAUAAGACAAUCUCUAAUCAUAAAAGUACCAGGUUUUUGUCCAGAUUUAGAUUUCUCUUGUGACAGAAUAUACUGAGGCUAACUGUAAAAGCUUUCUGUCUGCAUGAAAUAUUGACAUAUUAUCAAAUCAUUACUGUUUUCUUUCUAGAAAUUGGAUGAAACAAAUAUAAUCCUUAAUAGUGUUUUAUUUUGUUGACUUUUAAACCAGCUCUUCUAAUUUAAUUUCAUUAAUAUCAACUUCUAUCUGAAAAAUGAUUAGUCUCAAACAAUUUAAAGUGAGAUAAAUUGUGAAAUAUUAGGUAAGGUGAAAAAUCCCUGGUGAGGACAAAGAUCUGUGACUACAAUGUCAGAUGCUUGGUGAAAAACUGCCUGAAUUUGAUUAUCUGCUUAAAUUUCUGUUUCCUAAAGGCUCCACAUUUCUAUACUGCUAAGCUUACCACAAAAGUAAUUUUUAUAAAUGUUUCAGAUUCAGAGGCAUUAGCUUUCUCUACAAUGCUUCUUUCGAUGGUGAAAAUGUAUUACUUCAUAAUUAGAAUCAAGAAGUCAUUUCUAACUUGAUACUAUUAAUGAAACUCAGAUUUAAAAAAAUCAAUUUAGUUAUCCAUAGCUCUAUUUUCUGAGAUUUCCUGGUUUCUGAUGAGAUAACCUGAACUUAGAAAAAGCAAUCUUUCCAUCCAUGAAAUAAUUCAUCACAGGAUGGGUGUUCUUUUUAUUGCUGAACUAUAUGCAGGUAAAAUUAAAACACUACUUCUCUAAUAUAUUUUCACUAAUUCUACAAUACUAGCUAAACUGUUAGGAAAGUAAAUAUUUUUAAAGAGCCCAAAUGACCUAGAAAUAGAAUAUAUGAAAUAUAAAACACAAAACACAUUAUUAUCAAGCAUACAAAAUAAUCAAUGAAAAAGACUAUGAGGCUACAAACCAAAAUGUUAACAGAAGUUAUCUCCUUG
rnacentral:lncRNA from 10 species